rnacentral:rRNA from 1 species
GACGAACGCUGGCGGCGUGCUUAACACAUGCAAGUCGAACGAAAAGAGGGAAAGAGCUUGCUCUUUCCGGAAUUGAGUGGCAAACGGGUGAGUAACACGUAAACAACCUGCCUUCAGGAUGGGGACAACAGACGGAAACGACUGCUAAUACCGAAUAAGUUCCAAGGGCCGCAUGGCCCAUGGAAGAAAAGGUGGCCUCUACCUGUAAGCUAUCGCCUGAAGAGGGGUUUGCGUCUGAUUAGCUGGUUGGAGGGGUAACGGCCCACCAAGGCGACGAUCAGUAGCCGGUCUGAGAGGAUGAAUGGCCACACUGGAACUGAGACACGGUCCAGACUCCUACGGGAGGCAGCAGUGGGGAAUCUUCCGCAAUGGGCGAAAGCCUGACGGAGCAACGCCGCGUGAGUGAUGACGGCCUUCGGGUUGUAAAACUCUGUGAUCCGGGACGAAAAGGCAGAGUGCGAAGAACAAACUGCAUUGACGGUACCGGAAAAGCAAGCCACGGCUAACUACGUG